GGAUGAGGUAACUGAGUAACUGGUAACUGGGUAACUGGGCAUUAAGGAGGGCACGUGACGGAAUGAGCACUAGGGGUUAUGUGCAGCUGACGAACCCCGAACUCCACCUCUGAAACUAAUACACUAUGUUAAUUAAUUGAAUGUAAAUAAAACUAAAAACAACAAAAAAAGCUCAAGUGCUAGGUCCUAGAGGCUUCCCCUUCCACGCACCCCCAGGGCUAGCUAGCCAAGUGUUGACCAGUCCUGACCUUGAGGCCUGAGGUCACACCUGCUGUCCGAUUCCCGCCUGCUGGGCCUGCAGGCCUCAACUCCUCGGCUUGGCCACCCCUGCCCCCACCCCUCUGGCUCCUCUAGCUCAUCCAGGGGCAAACUGUCCUGCAGUCACAAAACCCAGAAGCCCAGGACGCAGGCUUGGCCCUUGUCUCCGCACCCCACAUAUUAUAGGCCACAUCCUGGCCUGAGGAUGGGUCUGGAAUCUGUACCCCCGCCUUUAUCUUAGCCAGCGGUUCUCAUCCCAGGUCGCACACACACCUGGCCUUGGGUGUUGGCCGAAGCUGCCUGCCUUGGACGACUUAGUCCUCAUGGAAUUCACCCCAGAAGGCUCCAGACAUCUCCAGCCCCAGCCUCUCCUUGGAACCUCCAGACCUGACCUGCGUUUCCAGCUUGGAUGUCCCGAAGAUACCGCCAACUCAGAACGCUCAACAUGGAGGUCACCAUCCUCCCCCACCAAAGCUUCUCUUAUGUUCCCCAUCUUGUCCUAUCUGUCCCCUUACAUCUAGACAAUAUCCAAUGUUCCCUUCCCUCUUCCCCGUGUCCUAUCCAUGACUUCAUCAGCGGGUUCCAACUCUGACACCUCGUUCACAUUGGCAGCCCAACCCUGGCAAGCUUCCCCCCCACCCCGAGCGGCACCCCGGGGUCCUGCUGCGGAGCAGGACACCCCAGAUCAUGCGUCUCCUGAGCUCCAGGCCCCCACCCUCUGCAAUGGCCUGGUAGCCGUGUGACCUGGUGUCUGGGAAGAAGCCAACUAAUAGCUGGUAUUGAUGUCCUUUGCUCUGGGGUGUGGUCUGCCUGGAAAGAGAAGUGGGAUCAUCUCUGGGACAGGAGGGGCUCACCCUGGGUAGGACACCAAAGUGAGAAAAUGAGAGAGGGAUAGAACAAACCUUGGGAGGCAUCCAGCCAGCGUUUAAUAUCCAGCCAAAUGUUUAUCAACCAAGUGGGGGAAGAGGAAAGAAUAUGUGUGUGUGUGUGAAUAGUUUUGCUGAUAUAAAGAUAUGUAAUAAAACUUACAAAUAAUAAAAUGUGCAAUACA